rnacentral:lncRNA from 1 species
UAUAGAUCUCUAUAGAUAUCUAUAGAUCUCUAUAGAUAUCUAUAUCUCCAUUCUGUAAUGUAUAUAGACAUCAUUCCACACUGUGGAAAGAAACAGUUCAAAUCCCCUACCAGGGCCCUUACUACAAUUAUAAUAAAAACGAAUAAAAAGAAUGUUUCUGGCCAGGCACGGUGGCUCAUGCCUGUAAUCCCAGCACUUUGGGAGGCCGAGGCAGGUGGAUCACCUGAGGUCCGGGGUUCGAGACCAGCCUGGCCAACAUGGUGAAACCCCGUCUCUACUAAUACAAAAAUAAGCUGGGAGUGGUGGCACUACUCGGGAGGCUGAGGCAGGAGAAUUGCUUGAACCGGGGAGGUGGAGGUUGCAGUGAGCCGAGAUCGUGCGUGCCAUUGCACUCCAGCCUGGGUGACAAGAGAGAAACUCCGUCUCAUAAAAAAACAAAAACAAGAAAAAAGAAUGUUUCUGAGUACAGUGUGUGAAUCACAUGCAUGGUGAUGAACUAAUGAACAUCCAGAACUCCAACAGGAGACAAUGUCAGAAGGAUUAACAAAUCUGACCUUGACCCUGGGCAACAUAGUGAGACCCUGUCUUUACAAACAGUUUUUUAAAACUUAGCUGGAUGUGGUGGUGUGCGCUUGUGGUUCCAGCUGUUCCGGAGGCUAAAGUGGGAGGUUCGCUUGAGCCCAGGAGUUAGAGGAUGUAGUGAGCCAUGAUCACACCACUGCACUCCAGCCCUGGCAACAGAGCGAGACCCUGUCUCUUUAAAAAAAAAAAAAAAAUUGGCUGGGAAUGGUGGCUCACGCCUGUAAUCCCAACAUUUUGGGAGGCCGAGGUGGGCGGAUCACAAGGUCAAGAGAUCGAGACCAUCCUGGCCCACAUGGUGAAACUACAUCUCUACUAAAAAU